rnacentral:rRNA from 1 species
CGCGGCCUAUCAGCUUGUUGGUGAGGUAAUGGCUCACCAAGGCUUCGACGGGUAGCCGGCCUGAGAGGGCGACCGGCCACACUGGGACUGAGAUACGACCCGGACUCCUACGGGAGGCAGCAGUGGGGAAUAUUGCACAAUGGGCGAAAGCCUGACGCAGCGACGCCGCGUGGGGGAGGAAGGCCCCAGGGUUGUAAACCCCUGUCAGGUGGGACGAACCACGGAUCGGUCAAUACCCGGUCCGCCUGACGGUACCACCAGAGGAAGCUCCGGCUAACUCCGCGCCAGCAGCCGCGGUAAUACGGAGGGAGCGAGCGUUGUUCGGAAUCACUGGGCGUAAAGGGCGCGUAGGCGGUCGGGUAAGUCGGGUGUGAAAUUCCGGGGCUCAACCCCGUGGACUGCAUCCGAUACUGCUCGACUAGAGAGAGGUAGGGGCGAGUGGAAUUCCCGGUGUAGCGGUGGAAUGCGUAGAUAUCGGGAAGAACACCGGUGGCGAAGGCGGCUCGCUGGGCCUCAUCUGACGCUGAAGCGCGAAAGCGUGGGGAGCAAACAGGAUUAGAUACCCUGGUAGUCCACGCCGUAAACGAUGGGUACCAGGUGUUGGGAGGAUUGACCCUUUCAGUGCCGACGCUAACGCAUUAAGUACCCCGCCUGGGGAGUACGG